rnacentral:rRNA from 1 species
AUGGCCAAUACCCGGUCAGGAGGGGCGAACAAUGAGGGAGCAGGGGGCACCAGUGCAAGGAAAGGCAGCGCCGCCACCAAUGCAAAAGACCCCAUGUCUGCAACGACCUCCACCUCGUCUGCCAGUGGAAGGGAGUCUAGAAGCUUGUCCACACGUGAAACAAGCGAUGAGCAGAAGCCAAACCUCAGGAGGUCGAACCGAGAAACAAAAGGAAAGAAUCCCAUUGUGACCAACAGUUCUGCCUCUACACCUGUUUCGCAGAAAUCUAUUAGGGGCAGGAGCAACCCCAGCACACCUGGUACCCCGAAAUCGUCAGCAAGGAAGCUAAAAGGGUCGACGAGGAAGGCUAGUACCCCAAGAACGUCCGACAGAGUAAAGAAAAGUACCGUUUCAGCUUCUACUGCUUCAAAUGAUUCAAAUGGAGUUUCUAGUCCAGUGGCUACUCCCGACAAAACUGUAAAAAGAGAAAUUGAUGAACAUAACUCAACAAAGAAUGAUGCUUCCGAGAGUGGUACUAUGCCAUUGAAGAAGCAGAAAAGGCUAACCACACAGAGCUAUACAAAUCUCUUCAAGACAUCUUCUGAAGAACAUGAAAAAUCCCCUGCCUAUGAGGGAAAUGCUUCCAAGGUACACGCAGAAGAUAAUGGCUCUGUUUUGAGGCAUGAAGAAAGUGGCGCACAUGAAGAGGAUAACCAGGCACAUUUAAGUCAAGUCGCCAAUAAUUUUUUGGAAGGCUAUACUUCUGGCCUGUGUGAAGUUCCCAAGGUGAUAUUGGAGACAGAUGGGUUGAAAACUGAUGCUGAAAAAUCUGCUCCCAUUUCAGAGGACUUGGUUACAUUAUCAAGUCCUGUACAGGCACAUAUGACUGCUGAUCUGUGCUCAAGCAGUCCUGCAAUGGAUGCUACAGAGCCAACUGAUGACUGUUCAGAGUUAGCACUUCACGUUGCAAUGGGCCAGAAAGUGGAUUCAUCAAAAUUUGUGGAGUAUUGGGUUCCUGCUCGACUUUCACGAGUACAACUAGAAUUCUACUGUUAUACCUUACUUUCAAACUCACCAGCCCUUCGAUCACAUUCAAAAACUGACAGUAUUGGUGCUCUUUGCAACAUUCUUGUAUCCCUUCGGAAGUGCUGCGACCACCCUUAUCUAGUAGAUAAAACGUUGCAUUUAUUACUUACCAAGGGACACCCAAUAACUGAUAUCCUAGAUAUUGGAGUGUGUGCAAGUGGUAAGCUACUGCUUCUUGACAAAAUGCUCCAAGAAAUCUGGAAAAAAGGGCAGAGAGUUCUUAUCCUUUCCCAGUCUUGUGGUGGGGCUGACAAUCCAAUGGGUGACAUUUUGGAUGACUUUGUCCAUCAAAGAUUUGGUUUUGAGUCAUAUGAACGCGUGGAGUGUGGUCUGAAUGUACGAAAGAAACAGGGUGCAAUGAGUAUGUUCAAUGACACAACUAAGGGCCGGUUUAUUUUCUUGAUUGAUAGCCGUGCGUGUGUCCCAAGCAUUAAACUAUCAUCAGUUGAUGUCAUCAUCAUAUAUUGUAGUGAUUGGAACCCCACAAAUGACUUGAGAGUCCUCGAGAAGAUCAGCAUAGAGUCACAAUCCGAGUGUGUGCCCAUUUUUCGUUUAUAUUCGUCUUGUACAGUGGAAGAGAAGGCUCUUAUACUUGCAAAGCAUGAUCAUAUUCUUGAUAGCACUGUCCAGAAUAUAACGCCUAUCCUGAGCCAUUCUCUGCUUAGUUGGGGUGCAUCAUUUCUCUUCAGUAGACUCGAAGGGCUAAAAAACUAUGCAUGUUUACGCAAGGAUUCUGAUGCUGAGAAACUGUUCAUGGAUAAAGUACUUUUGGACUUAAAGAAGUUAUCCACUAAAGAUGAUCCCAGCACUAAGAUGAGCAAUGCAGCCAUAUCACAAGCUCAUCUGAGUGGACCUUUUUAUUCUAGAGAUAGUCUUGUAGUAGGUGAGAGGGAGGGGAUCUCUGCACCUGAUAGUGAUCUGCCAAAGUUCUGGGUAAAUUUGCUAGAUCAGAAGUCUCCUCGUUGGCAGUAUAUAACUGAGCAGGCACAAAGAAGCCGUAGAAAGAUACAAAACAUGGAAGAAGGGAAAAUUCCUGCCGAUGAGGCUGAUGAAGCCAGUACCAAACGCAGAAAAAUUGCUGGAAUCUUGGAUUCAUCUGCAAAUGUUUUAGCUGGCGAAGACAAGGACUCAAUAUUGCCUGAAACUAAUACGACAUCUAGUUCUCAUCGAAAAAUUGCUGGGAUCUUGGAUUCAUCUGCAAAUGUUUUAGCUGGCGAAGACAAGGACUCAAUAUUACCUGAAACUAAUAUGCCAUCUAGUUCUCAUCAAAUAUCAGUUGACGACACAUGGCAGGAACAAGGGGUGAAAAAUCUUCAGGACACACAAAAAAGUCUUCAUAUCCAGUUGAAACCAGAGCUCUCAAUGCUAUAUGAAUUGUUUGAACUACCGGGGAGUGUUAAAUGUUUAUGUGAGGAACUUCUUGAGUAUACUUUGAAGAAUCACCAAGUCAGUCAGGUGCCAAAGGACAUACUGCAUGCAUUCAACAUUGCACUGUGCUGGCGUGCUGCUUCUCUCUCAAGGCAUAAGGUUAAUCAUAGAGAAUCACUGGCCCUUGCUGUAGAACACUUGAAGUAUGAGUGCAGUGAAAUUCUUGCUGAGAAGGUUUAUAAGAAGCUAAGGAUCCUAAAGAAGGAGUUCUCUCAUAGGGUAGGCAGAACAGGCAAGAGUAAUCAAUCAAUUUCAGUAAAGAACAUAUCACCAUGCCAGCAGGAGCCCUCAACUAAAUGUGGAACUGACAAAUCAAUCCCUAAGCAGGCAGCAUCUGUUGGUGAGAACGAAUCACAUCAAGAGGAUUCACAUGACUUAGUGAUUGAGCCUAUCGUACUAGGAGAGAAGGAAGUGCUAUAUGUUCCAGAGAUUAAUGAAAAACAACAUUUAUCAAAGGAUGCACUUCUUAAUAGAAUCACAGAGAAAAGAAUUAAAUUAGUUGACAUGGUAUUCUCCUUGAGAGAAAAGAAUAUCCAUGAUAAACAAACAAAUGAGGUCGCAAUGUUUGACAUGCACAGGCACAAGGGAGUGGAGAAACUGAGAGAAGCACGCAGAAUAGUUGUGGAACACCUUCGUAGGUCUCAAGCUGAUCUAGAGGACAGAGGUGGUCAAAUGAAGCUAAUAGUUGAAUGGUUCACUAUGCUACUAUAUGCGUUUCUGAAGCACAUGAGGUACCAGCGUGAGAAGCUUGACUUGCAGCAAUCAAUGGUGUGGACUAAGGAAUUACAGUUGAAAGAAAAUUUCCUUCACGAAGCAAAAUUUGGCCAGUUAGAUCUUACUUUUGAUGAACAUAUUUAUUUACCAGAUUCAGGCUUUGCUAUUGAGGAAUUCAGCCACUUUAGCUCCUGUGUUGAUACAGCAACUUUGGCAAACUGUCCGCAGUCUUUGCAUGAAACCUCAGCGAUGGAAGUUACAUUGGUUCGUAGUGUGAUUUCAUCUGAUGUUAUCAAUGCAGAAGCAGCGAGAAGUAGUUCUGCUGAAGUUCUUAUCCACAAUGAGGGAAUGCCAGCAUCAGAAGGCAUUGGUUUGACAGAGAACACGAUCAGCAAUAGUUUUGAUUGCAUCGACUCACAAGGAGGGGCAUCUCUGGCUGUUCAACACCAAGUAAAUUCUAGUCCUGCAAUUGAUAAUUCUAUUAAUCAGGAAUCUUCAAGUGGUGGCCAUAGAAGGACCGAACAUGUUGAGCGACAGAGUGGUGUGGGUUCGCAACCAUUACUCGGAGAGACUGACCAACAUUUAGGAGAUGCUGAAAUGGAAGUUAACACCGGCAAUAGGGACGAUACUCAGGAAGAUCCACCUUACCUAGAACCACAGACUCUGGCUCCUGUGCCCAGCCAGGCUUCCUUGCAAAUGUCCAAGGAAGUUGAAGCUGAGGCCAACCUUGUACUGCAGUCAGCCCAACCAAUUGCAGCUCCAGCACAACUUCUGCAAAGAGAGGCAGAACAAGUAGACCGUUCUGGUGUGAUACCAGCUCAGACUUUGCAACCUGAAAUGCAACCAUCAGCAUCCAGGGAAGCUUAUAUGCAGGCAGAUCUGAUAAUUCAGUCUGCACUACCAAGUAUGGUGCCAACUGAGCUUUCACGGUUGCUUGAAAGAACACACCCUGAUCAGUGUCAACUAAGUCAUCAACCCGAGGCUGCACUGGGUUCUUCAGCAAAACUGGUGGCAUCAAUGGUGUUUAAUCAUCCACCAGUUGGUGAUGAACCACUGAAAAAUGAGUUGCACAGAUUACGGUCAUACAUUGACUCGCUUAAUAAAACCAACGAACUAAAGAAAUCACAACUUAGGACUGAGUGUAGCCAAGAAAUAGACAAGGUCAAACAAAAGUACGAUUUGUUACUUCAAGAACAGGAUUCCACUCAUCUUCAGCAAACAAAGACACUUGAUAAUUUAUGUGAGAAAGUUCUCCUCAACCAGUCAAUAGCUGACUAUUUUCGGGCUAAAUUCAUAUCUUCUUCUGGAGCACAAGCUAGAGCCCAGAGCCCUCCAAAUCACCAGACACCCCAGGCCUCUCAGCAAGUUCCCCCGAGGCCUUCAGCUGUAGCAGCGACUGCAUCACCAGCUGCGUCGUCGUCAGCUGGUCGAUCACCAGUAUUGACACAUCAUAUCCAACCAUUACAGGUCGAUCGACCAUCACCAUCAUCACCAGCUGGUCCACUACCACAUGUCCAACCAUUAAAAGUCGAUCGACCAUCACCAUCAUCAUCGCCAUCUUCACAAGUUGUCAGACCUCGCCCCUCCAUACUAAACAACAUUGUCAGAUCACCGUCAACUACUUUUAGUCUCGCGCCAGUUCUGCCACGGGGAAGCUUUGGAGUCCAGAGUGAACUAGCACGUGCACGUGCACCUGCUCCUCAUCUUCGGCGCAGGUUGCCUCCACAGGUGCAGUCUAUGGCAUCUGCAAAUCAGCAGCAGCUUCCAACUAAGCUUGAGAGCAUGUCUGCAAGGACAUGGGCUACCCCUGUGACUCCAGUAAAUAUAAGACAAUCAUGCCCACAAGCAGUUCCCCCAGGGAACCCAUCACUGUCAAGUUUGCACCCAAGUUUAUACCCCACUUUAGCCGCACUCUUGGGACCAUCAAGUUCACAUCAAAUUCAGCAGGGUCCACUACUGCCAUCAAGUUCACUGCCAACACGCUUGUCGUCUCCAGUACCUUCAACUCCAAAUCCAGUUCUGCCACUAACAUCACCGCGAGGUUUGACUAUGACAUUUAGUGUUUCCUCAGCUGCGUCGAAUGUGUUGCCAAGUAGGGGUGUUGGGCCUUCCACAUCAGGCACUCCGCAGUCAGAUUCUGAUUCAGCACGCUGGAUGAAUGGCUAA